GAUGGCUUAGUGGUUAGAGCGUCCGCCUCGGAUGCGGGAGGUCAUGGGUUCCCGUUGAGUCAUACCAAAGACA